rnacentral:rRNA from 1 species
UACGUAGGUGGCAAGCGUUGUCCGGAUUUACUGGGUGUAAAGGGCGUGUAGCCGGGCUGACAAGUCAGAUGUGUAAUCCGGGGGCUCAACCCCCGAACUGCAUUUGAAACUGUUGGUCUUGAGUAUCGGAGAGGCAGGCGGAAUUCCUAGUGUAGCGGUGAAAUGCAUAGAUAUUAGGAGGAACACCAGUGGCGAAGGCGGCCUACUGGACGGUGACUGACGCUGAGGCUCGAAAGCGUGGGGAGCAAACAGG